UUUAUGGAGAGUUUGAUCCUGGCUCAGGAUGAACGCUGGCGGCGUGCCUAAUACAUGCAAGUCGAGCGAACGGACGAGAAGCUUGCUUCUCUGAUGUUAGCGGCGGACGGGUGAGUAACACGUGGAUAACCUACCUAUAAGACUGGGAUAACUUCGGGAAACCGGAGCUAAUACCGGAUGAUAUUUUGAACCGCAUGGUUCAAAAGUGAAAGACGGUCUUGCUGUCACUUAUAGAUGGAUCCGCGCUGCAUUAGCUAGUUGGUAAGGUAACGGCUUACCAAGGCAACGAUGCAUAGCCGACCUGAGAGGGUGA
rnacentral:rRNA from 1 species